CAUAGGCAAACUCUGGCCCUCCAGAUGUUUGGGACUACAAUUGGGACUACAAACAUCUGGAGGGCAAGAGUUUGCCUAUG